rnacentral:rRNA from 1 species
CCUACGGGGUGCAGCAGUGAGGAAUAUUGGUCAAUGGACGAGAGUCUGAACCAGCCAAGUAGCGUGAAGGAUGACUGCCCUAUGGGUUGUAAACUUCUUUUAUAUGGGAAUAAAACGUUCCACGUGUGGGAUUUUGUAUGUACCAUAUGAAUAAGGAUCGGCUAACUCCGUGCCAGCAGCCGCGGUAAUCCGGAGGAUCCGAGCGUUAUCCGGAUUUAUUGGGUUUAAAGGGAGCGUAGGUGGAUUGUUAAGUCAGUUGUGAAAGUUUGCGGCUCAACCGUAAAAUUGCAGUUGAAACUGGCAGUCUUGAGUACAGUAGAGGUGGGCGGAAUUCGUGGUGUAGCGGUGAAAUGCUUAGAUAUCACGAAGAACUCCGAUAGCGAAGGCAGUUCACUGGACUGCAACUGACACUGAGGCUCGAAAGUGUGGGUAUCAAACAGGAUUAGAUACCCCAGUAGUC